AAGACACUAGUAAAACUGCUAAUUACACCGCCUUGUCAAGGCAGAGUCGUAGGUUGGACUCCUACGUGUCUUA
rnacentral:tRNA from 1 species